AAUAUUACCCGGUAGGGGAGAUACCAUGAUCACGAAGGUGGUUUUCUCCGGGCCAGGCUUACCAUUGCACUCCAGAUGUGCUGGUCCCUGAGAUUCCCUCAAAUGUGGGAAACUCGACAGCUUAAUUUGUGGUAGUGCGGGACUGUACUUGCACUCUACCCUG